CCUACGGGGUGCAGCAGUGAGGAAUAUUGGUCAAUGGGCGCGAGCCUGAACCAGCCAAGUAGCGUGAAGGAUGACUGCCCUACGGGUUGUAAACUUCUUUUAUAAAGGAAUAAAGUGAGGCACGUGUGCCUUUUUGUAUGUACCUUAUGAAUAAGGAUCGGCUAACUCCGUGCCAGCAGCCGCGGUAAUACGGAGGAUCCGAGCGUUAUCCGGAUUUAUUGGGUUUAAAGGGAGCGUAGAUGGGUUGUUAAGUCAGUUGUGAAAGUUUGCGGCUCAACCGUAAAAUUGCAAUUGAUACUGGCAGCCUUGAGUACAGUUGAGGUAGGCGGAAUUAGUGGUGUAGAAGAAAAAUGCUUAGAUAAAACGAAGAACACCGAUUGCGAAGGCAGCUUACUAGACUGCAACUGACAUUGAUGCUCGAAAGUGUGGGUAUCAAACAGGAUUAGAUACCCCAGUAGUC
rnacentral:rRNA from 1 species